rnacentral:lncRNA from 1 species
AGGAGCUGGCACCUGGGCACACGCCUGGCCACACACCUGUGCAGAGCCGGUGGCAGGCCCUCCCGGCACAGGAAUGGCGCGCCCCCAGCUGCCGCCACUUCUGCUUUUGGUGCUGGUGCUGCCACUAAAAGCUAAUAAGAAUGACCCUAACAGUACUCCCUACACAGGUAUUACGACCUCAGAGUACAACAGUAUGGAGACAUCAUCUCUCAGCUCUCUGAUUUAUUCUCCCUUCACCCACAACACCCUCAGUUCAGGGGAACCCCCCAAAACCUACUCCAGCCCCCUGAGUUUGGAGACAGGCUCCAUGACCCACCUCAGCCCCUCAAGUUCAGGGGCAACCCCUACCAUGCAGCCUAGCCCCAGCUCCACAGAGUCAAGGAUGAUUCCCUCGUCCCCACAACCAGAGACAACCACGCACCCUAGUUCUGGUUCCCCCAAUGGAGAGCUCACCCCCUCUUCCCAUUCCACCUUCCCCAGUUCCGAAUCCCUGACCCCGCACUGGAGCCCCACUUCCCACAGCCCCGGAACGGAGCCCUUGACCUCCACUGACCAGACCUUGGAGCCCCCUGGCCCAGCUCCAGGUGACACUGGGCCCCCUGAGUUACACAGGAACCCGGCUGUGGUGGUGGUCGUGUGUUUGCUGGUGUCUCUUUUGCUCAUCGGGUCUGUGGUCAUGGCUGUGAGGUUCUGUCACCGGGAUGAGUCCACAUUUGAGAAACUGGAUGAGGUGUCCAUGGGAUCCAUGAAUGACAGAUUGUCCUUUGCCCACCACCUCCAGGAGUGAGCCCUGAGGAGCCAACAGAGAUGCGGGCGUGGAUGGGGCUGGAGUGCCUGGGGAGGAGCAGAACCUGAGGAAAUAAACACCCUACCAUUCAUCCAAGG